GCCAUUUCUUUUACUGCGUCACAUCCGGUAUUCAGUCGACUUGGACACAACCGGCGACAGCAGAGGGUUAUCUUCUUUUAUCCAUGGCCAUCCGACUUUAUUUCGAUUAUAUCUUAAGUGCCUGACUUCGUGAAAGGUAGCAGUAACUAACAUUUUUUGGAAAGUGUCGAUUUUGUUGGCGAAAUUCUGGCUUUAAACGCCAAAAAGGCCUCUUUGAAACGCUGGUGUUGUACUUCUGUAAACUGACGUGCUGGGAUUUUUUCCCUCCAUUAAUAAUUAUUUAUUCAGUGAUAUAUACAGAGUAGAGGUAUCCAAGGACAAAAGAUAAGAUGGAAAGGUAAUUAAAGCUUUAUUUCGUCUUAUUUUGACACUCUGGCAACAGCUCUUAAUCUAUCUGCGCACGUGUAUUGGAUUAAGUUGUGAAGAGCUUCAGGUGAACAAGUUGACAUUAUUACUGUAUCACGCCAUUUGGUCCUAAAUUGGAUCUGCAGACAUUUCUAGUAAGGCUCAGCCUGCAGUGGCUCUGAUCUUUCCUGUUGUGUCUGCUAGAGAGAUAUGAGGCUGUUUGAGGCCCUGCUGUGACUGAACAUGGCAGGGUUAUAGGUAAACCUCUGACAAACUGUCCGGUUUUCAUCAUAGGAAGGAGAAGUAAGAUAGAUUAUCAGUGUUUUGUGUUUGUUUUGAGCCUAUUUGGAGACCAUGUGCUGAAGAGGGAUGAUUGUUAAGACUGUUUUCCCCAUAAUGUAGAAGUGACUAAUCAUAUUUUAUUGAAUCAAGUGUUAAUAGAAUAACCUCAUUCACAGGUCUGCAAGGAUGAAGAAGCAUGUUUUGGUUCUGCUCAGACCUCCUGAUUGACAUGUGAUGCUCCAGGGUGGCAGUCUUCAUCAUGCAAAGAUGAAAUAUUGUCAGGUAAUACCUGAUUGUCAUUUGUUUACUUCAAAGUUACAUUGUCUUAACAGAGCCCUCUGUAAUGUAAAGGGAUAUUCCGGCAUAAAAUUAAGGGUCACACACAUCUUAACACCAAGUAAGACACCCCCCGAGAAAUGAAUGUUGCCAACCGCUUGCUUCUCUAGUUUUACCAACUGAAGUAACGACCGCAGGAUAGCAAUACACAGCGGUCUGAGGAGCCAUAACCAAACCUAAACCAAAACUCCACUCUAUAGCCACAAAUAAUGCUCAGAACAGCACCUCACUUCAUCAAGAGUACAUAUAGGGUCCUACCCAUCAAACAUCUUCUUAACUUUGCCUAGUUUCUUAAGCAAAGAGACUAAACACAACUCUAACUAGAGAAUCAAGCGGUCAGCAACAUUCAUUCUCAAGGGGGUGUCUAACUCGGUGUUACGGUGUGUUUGACCUUAAAGGUGUGCAGACCUCUCCAGUGAGGCUCGGCCUGUAGUGGCUCUGAUCUCUGUUGUUGUCUCUGCUAGAGAGAUGUGGGGCUGUUUGAGGCCCUGCUGUGGCUCUACACCGCAGGGUUAUAGGUAAACCUCCAACAUGGCAUCUUUAAUUUGCAGUGCUAGUCGUACUUUUUCAGAAUUGCAUUACAACUAUCUAUAUUGAAUUUCUUGUUUCGCUUCACAGGUUUGAAUUCAUCAGUGCCUCCUUCAGAAGACUGACAGGUAAAGAGCCAUGAUAGCAGUCCAGAGGUAUGUUUUUAUAUUUUUUAAGCAAAUGAAUGUGCUAUUUCGGCACGAGCUUCAGCAUUAAUAAGGUUUACAAGUAUCCAUUCAGAACCAUGUUGUGGCUCCUCAUCCAAAACAAACAUGAGGAUCUAACCUGCAUAACAAUUAUGCAUUUGAAAAUGCACUAUGAAGUGCUCGCUUUUUGUGCUGUACAAAAAUAAAUUUGUAUCACUGGAAUUUUAGGGGUCUUACUGGUACGUCUAAACCAGGUACCAGGUUCACCUCGUAAAGAAGCCCAACAAUGAAAUCUGUCUGUUGUUCUUAUUUAUAUGAUUGUUAAAUCAUGUGUGUAAAAAAACAGUGUAAUCUCCUGAAAUAAAUAUCCUCCUGAACACA